rnacentral:rRNA from 1 species
GACGAACGCUGGCGGCGUGCUUAACACAUGCAAGUCGAACGGAAAGGCCCUGCUUUUGUGGGGUGCUCGAGUGGCGAACGGGUGAGUAACACGUGAGUAACCUGCCCUUGACUUUGGGAUAACUUCAGGAAACUGGGGCUAAUACCGGAUAGGAGCUCCUGCUGCAUGGGGGGGGUGGUAAAGUUUCGGCGGUUGGGGAUGGACUGGCGGCUUAUCAGCUCGUUGGUGGGGUGGUGGUUUACCAAGGUUUUGAGGGGUCGCCGCCCUGAGAGGGUGACCGGCGACAUUGGGACUGAGAGACGGCGCAGACUCCUACGGGAGGCAGAAGGGGGGAGUAUGGCACAAUGGGCGGAAGCCUGAGGCAGCAACGCCGCGUGCGGGAUGACGGCCUUCGGGUUGUAAACCGCUUUCGCCUGUGACGAAGCGUGAGUGACGGUAAUGGGUAAAGAAGCACCGGCUAACUACGUG